rnacentral:rRNA from 1 species
CUUGAACGCUGGCGGCAGGCUUAACACAUGCAAGUCGAGCGAGCGGCGGACGGGUGAGUAAUGUCUGGGAAACUGCCAGAGGGAGGGGGAUAACUACUGGAAACGGUAGCUAAUACCGCAUACCCUCAGAUGUGCCCAGAUGGGAUUAGCUAGUAGGUGGGGUAAUGGCUCACUUAGGCGACGAUCCCUAGCUGGUCUGAGAGGAUGACCAGCCACACGGGAACUGAGACACGGGCCAGUAUCCUACGGAAGGCAGCAGUGGAGAAUAUUGCACAAUGGGCGCAAGCCUAAUGCAGCCAGGCAGAGUGUGUGAAGAAGGCCUUCGGGUUGUAAAGCACUUGCAGCGAGGAGGCGUUAAUCGCAGAAGAAGCACCGGCUAACUCCGUGCCAGCAGCCGCGGUAAUAC